CCUACGGGAGGCAGCAGUGGGGAAUAUUGGGCAAUGGGCGCAAGCCUGACCCAGCAACGCCGCGUGAAGGAAGAAGGCUUUCGGGUUGUAAACUUCUUUUCUCAGGGACGAAGCAAGUGACGGUACCUGCGGAAUAAGCCUCCGCUAACUACGUGCCAGCAGCCGCGGGAAUCCGUAGGUGGCAAGCGUUAUCCGGAUGUACUGGGUGUAAAGGGCUUGUAGGCGGGAAAGCAAGUCAGAUGUGAAAACCAUGGGCUCAACCUGUGGCGAGCAGUUGAAACUGUGUGUCGUGAGUACUGGAGAGGUAGACGGAAUGCGGAGUGUAGCGGUGAAAUGCGUAGAUAUUAGGAGGAACAACAGUGGCGAAGGCGGUCUGCUGGACAGCAACUGACGCUGAGGCGCGAAAGCGUGGGGAGCAAACAGGAUUAGAUACCCUUGUAGUC
rnacentral:rRNA from 1 species